rnacentral:rRNA from 1 species
UACGGGGGGAGCAAGCGUUGUUCGGAUUUACUGGGCGUAAAGGGCGCGUAGGCGGUCAGCACAAGUCAGUUGUGAAAUCUCCGAGCUUAACUCGGAAAGGUCAACUGAUACUGUGCGACUAGAGUGCGGAAGGGGCAACUGGAAUUCUUGGUGUAGCGGUGAAAUGCGUAGAUAUCAAGAGGAACACCUGCGGCGAAGGCGGGUUGCUGGGCCGACACUGACGCUGAAGCGCGAAAGCCAGGGGAGCGAACAGG